AUAGCUUCUCAUAGUUUUCUAUCAAUGUCUUUCCUCUGUCAUGUACAUGUGUGCCCUCCCUCUUUCUGCUGUACACUCCCCCUCCCUCUCGCCAACUUGUUCUCAUCUCUCUCUCUCUCUCUCUCUCUCUCAUGUACAUACAGGAGUAGGUGGAGGACACACUCUCUCACACACACAACACAGUAGAACAUGUCAGACUCAGAGACCGCAGCUCCCGCCGAGACGCCCGUCCCCGCCGCCUGUGAGGCCAUCAAGGCUGAUCUGGACAAAUGUAUAAAGGAGAAUGGAGAAGCAGCGUGUAAGGAGCUGAUGGAGGCCUUCGCUGCCUGUGUAAAGAGCAGCGCUGAGGGGUCCUGAGGAACUCCACACACAGGACAUGUAAAGUCCACUGCACUGAGUCCUCCACCUUCCCAGCAUUCCCUUCAGCACUGGACUGAACGACUCUGGUGGGAUUUGGCAGCAGAACCCACAUGACCUUUUCCCUCCUCCUCCCCCCCUCGUCUAAGCCCCACCCACCUAUAGAGCUUAAAUGAUUUCUUCCUGCCCCUCCUUUCCCUUGCAGCCAAAUGCAUCGAUCAGAUCUGUAGACAGUUUGGGAGCCCGUGGGUUUUAUGUAAAUUGUCUGUUCGAGAUGCUUACAUAAUGGUGAAAUAAAGUUUAAAAGAUUGUUAUGACUUC
rnacentral:lncRNA from 1 species